CUCUGCCUCUGGCAUGUGUUUACCGGAAGGGUCAGUGGCCACAAUCAUGUGGGAAAGUAUGUCCUGCAUCGGAGCUCCUGUGGCAAUCGCUGCCUUCUUCUCACCAAUUACUGUUUUAAGCUCCUUUCUGAUUGCAGCUGCAGCCCUGCUAGCUCUGUGAAAAAUGGUUCCAGGGAAAUUUACGGGAAUAGAAUGCAUACCCAGGGUUAUAUCAUCAAAAUUGCUAACAAGCUUAGCUAUACGCUCGUGGUCAUCUGUGUCCAAGAAAAAUCGACAGGCAAGAGAUAGAGUUAGAGUCUUCGCAAGAGGAAAGGCCUUGACUUUAUCUUUACCCUCCCAAUAAGUUUGCAUUUGCUGCUGCGUGAUGGAGUCCAUUUUAUCCAAGUACCUCACAAGCGCCUCAGGCUUCAAGAAACCUGGAGAACGUAGCAUUUUGGACUCUGCUUCACGAGAAAUCUGAACAGGGGCAGCUGCAGCAGCUUUGUACGAGCGAAAGAGCUUCUGCAUAGAAUGAGGACGAAAUGCAGUGAAAAGCUUCUGCUCAUUGGAGAAGAGAAAUUUGUGUCCAUUAGGGCCACAUAUGACGGCUGUUUCCUCUCCAAGAAUCUUUGUCUUGAAAAUAUCGGGAGAGUACUUCUUCAUCCUGUCAAAAACAAACUUUUCUGGCUUGCCAAACAAGAACUCCAGAGUUUCCCCCGCUAAUGGCCAUCCCAAGCUCCCUGGGGGCAGGUUCUUGGCAUCUCUGGAUUGGCGCUUGAAAGCAAAGAGACCAACGGCAAGUGUGAGAACCACGGGAGCUAAAGAUAAGAAAAGGAAGGUGAUCUCCAUGGCUGUUGGUGCUAUACAGUAUAGCUUCAAUUGUUGUAAAUUCAACGGUUGUAAAGAUGUGAAAUUUGGCAAGGAAUGCAG
rnacentral:misc_RNA from 1 species